GACGAACGCUGGCGGCGUGCUUAACACAUGCAAGUCGAACGGAAAGGCCCUGCUUUUGUGGGGUGCUCGAGUGGCGAACGGGUGAGUAACACGUGAGUAACCUGCCCUUGACUUUGGGAUAACUUCAGGAAACUGGGGCUAAUGCCGGAUAGGAGCUCCUGCUGCAUGGUGGGGGUUGGAAAGUUUCGGCGGUUGGGGAUGGACUCGCGGCUUAUCAGCUUGUUGGUGGGGUAGUGGCUUACCAAGGCUUUGACGGGUAGCCGGCCUGAGAGGGUGACCGGCCACAUUGGGACUGAGAUACGGCCCAGACUCCCACGGGAGGCAGCAGUGGGGAAUAUUGCACAAUGGGCGGAAGCCUGAUGCAGCAACGCCGCGUGCGGGAUGACGGCCUUCGGGUUGUAAACCGCUUUCGCCUGUGACGAAGCGUGAGUGACGGUAAUGGGUAAAGAAGCACCGGCUAACUACGUG
rnacentral:rRNA from 1 species